rnacentral:rRNA from 1 species
CCGAUUUUCCAUGCUAGUUGUACGAGUUUAGACUCGUAGCAGAUAGCUCAGUAACACGUGGCCAAACUACCCUAUGGAUCCGGACAACCUCGGGAAACUGAGGCUAAUCCGGAAUACGACUCUCAGCCUGGAAGUGGCGAGAGUCAGAAACGCUCCGGCGCCAUAGGAUGUGGCUGCGGCCGAUUAGGUAGACGGUGGGGUAACGGCCCACCGUGCCCAUAAUCGGUACGGGUUGUGAGAGCAAGAGCCCGGAGACGGUAUCUGAGACAAGAUACCGGGCCCUACGGGGCGCAGCAGGCGCGAAACCUUUACACUGCACGACAGUGCGAUAAGGGGACUCCGAGUGCGAGGGCAUAUAGUCCUCGCUUUUCACUACCGUAAGGAGGUAGUANAAUAAGUGCUGGGCAAGACCGGUGCCAGCCGCCGCGGUAAUACCGGCNGCACAAGUGAUGACCGCUCUUAUUGGGCCUAAAGCGUCC